rnacentral:lncRNA from 1 species
UUGCAGGCAUGAGCCACUGCACCUGGGCUGCCUAAAUUAAUUUUCUAGGGCCGCCAUAACAAAGUACUGCAGACUCGAUAGCUUAAGCUGCAGAGAUUUAUCUUCUCACAGCUCUGGAGGCUGGAAGUCAGAGGUCAACGUGUUGGCAAGGUUGGUGUCCUCUGAGGCCUCUGUCCUUGGCCUGCUAAUGGUGGCCUUCCUGCCACCUAUGUCUUCACAUGGUCUUGCCUUUGUGCAUGAGUGUGUCCUAAUCUUCUCUUAGUGGAUUAGGGCCCAUCCUGAUGACCUCAUUUUAACUUAGUCACCUCUUUAAAGCCCCUGUCUCCAAAUAAGGCCCCAUUCUGAGGUCCUGGGAGUUAGGGCUUCAGCACGUGGAUUUUGGAGGGAGACACAGUUCCACCCACAGCAUUACCCAUGUCUAUUUUGCCAGUGUGGAGUCAGUACAGGCUCCAGGACACAUCCACAGAGCACAGGCCACGUAGAGGGGAGCUCCUGUCUACAAGGAAAAGCUGGCAGAAAACCAACAAAGACAGCCUCUUGAUGGUGGUCUUCAAAAGAUGCAACAGGAUGCAAUGGCAGUUGACAAUGGGAAUUUCAACUAGCAACAAUCCUGUGGCAAGUUUACCACCCUGAAUAUCCCAGAACUUGGAGUGAAGCUUUGCAUCCCCUGGGAUGGCAGAGCCAAGAAAAACCAUGAGGACGGAAGCACUGUGAGUACCGGCAGGGUCAGCCCAACAAGGGUCAGUAAGAACUUCCCUUUUCAAAAGAUAAAGCGGUUCACAUAGACAGCUGUGGUGGACUCUUUCUGCUGCCUGUCCAACAGACUUCUGCACAUUUCCUAAGGACAGAACCGCAUUUUUGUACUAGAGCAGAGAUUCCGUGACAUCAGGAGAAGAGGCCCUUCCCCCAAUCCCAGGAGCCAAUAAACUCAUUCUUCUUUGCAAUUGUACAAUGACAUGCACAGGGAAGUCUUCCUUUCCAGGGUAUAAAGCACCAUUAGGAGAAAGUUUUUGGUUUGCCUUGGCCCUUAUUUUUUGUUUUGGGGAUUUUGCGUGUGACAACAUCACUCCUGAGCUGUGGCAGCCAUCUUACCAUCAUGAGGAAACCGCCACGGGGAUAAAAAGCCAGUCCUCUGAGGACCUGGAAGAAAGGACAGAACCUGGCUCCCAAGGCAUCACUGAGACCCAAAUCAACAGUAAGUAAGCACAGCACCUACUCCUGGGCUUCUUUUUAUGAGAGAAAAAAAAAGUUCCCAUUUGUGUAAAUCAUA